GCCGGGGCAGUAGCGGCGCCCUAUUCUUGCAAUCCGCUAUAGCAAGGGUUAUAUCCUUAUUGAGGGUUUGAAGACAUAACAAUGUGUUUGUUAGGUGGUGUUGACGGUCGGGUCUUGCGCAAUAGUGGCGUGUGAACCUGGUCAGGUAAGGAAUUAAGCAGCCAUAAGCAUUGCUUCCUAUGUGCCGCAAGGUCACCCGGCCUGAGCUAACCGACUGA
rnacentral:SRP_RNA from 1 species